GCCGUAGCUCAGUGACAGAACAUUUUCUUUGCAUGCAGAAAGCCCCAGGUUCAAUCCCUGGCAUCUCCA
rnacentral:tRNA from 1 species